rnacentral:rRNA from 1 species
AAUGAACGCUGGCGGCAUGCCUAAUACAUGCAAGUCGAACGAGCCCUCCGGGACCUGUGGCGCAUGGGUUUGUCACCCGUGGGAACCUUCCCACAGGGUUGGCCUAACUAUACGACUGGGGUGCCAACACGGGAUCGUGUCUACGGCCCAAGGAUUUAUCGCACUUGGAUGGGCCGGCGUUGGAUUAGGUAGUUCUUAGGGUUAAAGACUACCAAGGGGACGAUUCAUAGGUGGUCUGAGAGGAUGAUCAGCCACACUGGGAUUGAGACCCGGCCUAGACUCCUACGGGAGGCAGCAGUGGGGAAUAUUGGACAAUGGGCGGAGGCCUGAUCCAGCAAUGCCGCGUGAGUGAUGAAGGCCUUAGGGUUGUAAAGCGCUUUUACCCGUGAUGAUAAUGACAGUACCGGGAGAAUAAGCUCCGGCUAACUCCGUG